AAGAAUUUCUUUUCGAUUUGUCGUACGGAAAUGGAUAUUUGAGGAGAUGAGAAGAAAGGAAAGGCGGCGGAAACCGAGAGGAAUGGGCGCAGCCGUCUUCCUCCUCCUCAUUCGACAACGGCGGCGAGAAGAU
ensembl:ncRNA C50F4.18 ncRNA